rnacentral:rRNA from 1 species
GUAGGUGGCAAAGCGUUGUCCGGAAUUAUUGGGCGUAAAGCGCGCGCAGGCGGUUCUUUAAGUCUGAUGUGAAAGCCCACGGCUCAACCGUGGAGGGUCAUUGGAAACUGAGAACUUGAGUACAGAAGAGGAAAGCGGAAUUCCACGUGUAGCGGUGAAAUGCGUAGAGAUGUGGAGGAACACCAGUGGCGAAGGCGGCUUUCUGGUCUGUAACUGACGCUGAGGCGCGAAAGCGUGGGGAGCAAACAGGGAUUAGAUACCCUGGUAGUCCACGCCGUAAACGAUGAGUGCUAAGUGUUAGGGGGUUUCCGCCCCCUUAGUGCUGCAGCUAACGCAUUAAGCACUCCGCCGUGGGGAGUACGGCCGCAAGGCUG